rnacentral:pre_miRNA from 1 species
GCAUGAAUUACUGGGUAAGUUCUCCUUUGGCAGGUGGCGAACUCAUAAUAAUAUUAAUGCACAUCACUUUUUCUUUUCUUUUUUUUUUUUUUGAAUUUUUUCACCCAUUAAUUAUUAUAGAAAACGAGUUUAGCCCACUGCCAAAGGAGAUUUGCCCCGCAAUUCAUAC